GAUGAACGCUGGCGGCGUGCCUAAUACAUGCAAGUCGAGCGAACAGACGAGGAGCUUGCUCCUUUGACGUUAGCGGCGGACGGGUGAGUAACACGUAGGUAACCUACCUAUAAGACUGGGAUAACUUCGGGAAACCGGAUCUAAUACCGGAUAAUAUUUCGAACCGCAUGGUUCGAUAGUGAAAGAUGGCUUUGCUAUCACUUAUAGAUGGACCUGCGCCGUAUUAGCUAGUUGGUAAGGUAACGGCUUACCAAGGCAACGAUACGUAGCCGACCUGAGAGGGUGAUCGGCGACACUGGAACUGAGACACGGUCCAGACUCCUACGGGAGGCAGCAGUAGGGAAUCUUCCGCAAUGGGCGAAAGCCUGACGGAGCAACGCCGCGUGAGUGAUGAAGGUCUUCGGAUCGUAAAACUCUGUUAUUAGGGAAGAACAAACGUGUAAGUAACUGUGCACGUCUUGACGGUACCUAAUCAGAAAGCCACGGCUAACUACGUG
rnacentral:rRNA from 1 species